rnacentral:rRNA from 1 species
CGCGUAGGCGGCCUGGUAAGUCUGGAGUGAAAGUCCUGCUUUUAAGGUGGGAAUUGCUUUGGAUACUGUCGGGCUUGAGUGCAGGAGAGGUAAGUGGAAUUCCCGGUGUAGCGGUGAAAUGCGUAGAGAUCGGGAGGAACACCAGUGGCGAAGGCGACUUACUGGACUGUAACUGACGCUGAGGCGCGAAAGUGUGGGGAGCAAACAG